CUCAAUCAUCUUGGCGUCUUAUGGCGCCUUGGC
rnacentral:misc_RNA from 1 species